rnacentral:rRNA from 1 species
UACGUAGGGGGCAAGCGUUGUCCGGAAUCAUUGGGCGUAAAGAGCGCGUAGGCGGUCCGGUAAGUCCGCUCUGAAAGUCCGGGGCUCAACCCCGGGAGGCGGGCGGAUACUGUCGGGCUAGAGUCCGGAAGAGGCGAGUGGAAUUCCUGGUGUAGCGGUGAAAUGCGCAGAUAUCAGGAGGAACACCAAUGGCGAAGGCGGUUCUCUGGGACGGUACUGACGCUGAGACGCGAAAGCGUGGGGAGCGAACAGG